rnacentral:rRNA from 1 species
AUGAACGCUAACGCUAGCGGGAGGCUUAACACAUGCAAGUCGAGGGGUAACAUUGGAGCUUGCUUCAGAUGACGACCGGCGCACGGGUGAGUAAAGCGUAUGCAACCUACCUCAAACAGGGGGAUAGCUCAGGGAAACCUGGAUUAAUACCCCAUAAUAUUUAGAUUUGGCAUCAGAUUUAAAUUAAAACUCCGGUGGUUUGAGAUGGGCAUGCGUGACAUUAGCUAGUUGGUAAGGUAAUGGCUUACCAAGGCUACGAUGUCUAGGGGUUCUGAGAGGAUGGUCCCCCACACUGGUACUGAGACACGGACCAGACUCCUACGGGAGGCAGCAGUAAGGAAUAUUGGGCAAUGGAGGCAACUCUGACCCAGCCAUGCCGCGUGCAGGAUGACAGCUCUAGAGGGUGUAAACUGCUUUUAUACAGGAAGAACCACCGGUACGUGUACUGGUCUGACGGUACUGUAUGAAUAAGGAUCGGCUAACUCCGUGCCAGCAGCCGCGGUAAUACGGAGGAUCCAAGCGUUAUCCGGAUUUAUUGGGUUUAAAGGGUGCGCAGGCGGAAUAGUAAGUCAGUGGUGAAAUCCUACGGCUCAACCGUAGAACUGCCAUUGAUACUGCUGUUCUUGAGUUCAGAUGAGGUAGGCGGAAUGUGUCGUGUAGCGGUGAAAUGCUUAGAUAUGACACAGAACUCCGAUAGCGAAGGCAGCUUACCAAACUGAUACUGACGCUGAGGCACGAAAGCGUGGGGAGCGAACAGGAUUAGAUACCCUGGUAGUCCACGCUGUAAACGAUGAUAACUAGUUGUUGGCGAUAUACUGUCAGCGACCAAGCGAAAGCGAUAAGUUAUCCACCUGGGGAGUACGAUCGCAAGGUUGAAACUCAAAGGAAUUGACGGGGGCCCGCACAAGCGGUGGAGCAUGUGGUUUAAUUCGAUAAUACGCGAGGAACCUUACCUGGGCUUAAAUGCAGAACGACCUCUUGAGAAAUCAGGCCUUCUUCGGACAAUCUACAAGGUGCUGCAUGGCUGUCGUCAGCUCGUGCCGUGAGGUGUUGGGUUAAGUCCCGCAACGAGCGCAACCCCUAUCUUUAGUUGCCAGCGAGUAAUGUCGGGGACUCUAAGGAAACUGCCCGCGCAAGCGGUGAGGAAGGUGGGGAUGACGUCAGGUCAGCACGGCCCUUACGUCCAGGGCUACACACGUGCUACAAUGGCCGGUACAAAGGGCAGCUACAUGGCGACAUGAUGCUAAUCUCUAAAGCCGGUCUCAGUUCGGAUCGAAGUCUGCAACUCGACUUCGUGAAGCUGGAAUCGCUAGUAAUCGUAGAUCAGCCAUGGCGCGGUGAAUACGUUCCCGGGCCUUGUACACACCGC